rnacentral:rRNA from 1 species
AUUGAACGCUGGCGGCAGGCCUAACACAUGCAAGUCGAGCGGAGCGGCGGAAGGGUGAGUAAUGCCUAGGAAUCUGCCUUGUAGUGGAGGAUAACGUCCGGCAACGGGCGCUAAUCCCGCAUACUAUCAGAUGAGCCUAGGUCGGAUUAGCUAGUUGGGGUGUUAAAGGCCUACUAAGGCGACGAGCCGUAACUGGUCUGAGAGGAUGAUCAGUCACACGGGAAGUGGGACACGGUCCAGACUCCUACGGGAGGCAGAAGUGGGGAAUAUUGGACAAUGGGCGAAAGCCUGAUCCAGCCAUGCCGCGUGGGUGAAGAAGGUCUUCGGAUUGUAAAGCACUUUAAGUUGGGAGGCGUUACCAACAGAAUAAGCACCGGCUAACUUCGUGCCAGCAGCCGCGGUAAUUC